UACAGAGGGGGCAAGCGUUGUUCGGAAUUACUGGGCGUAAAGGGCGCGUAGGCGGCCUUCUAAGUCAGACGUGAAAUCCCCGGGCUCAACCCGGGAACUGCGUCUGAUACUGGAAGGCUUGAAUCCGGGAGAGGGAUGUGGAAUUCCAGGUGUAGCGGUGAAAUGCGUAGAUAUCUGGAGGAACACCGGUGGCGAAGGCGGCAUCCUGGACCGAGAUUGACGCUGAUGCGCGAAAGCCAGGGGAGCAAACGGG
rnacentral:rRNA from 1 species